rnacentral:rRNA from 1 species
UACGAAGGGGGCUAGCGUUGCUCGGAAUCACUGGGCGUAAAGGGUGCGUAGGCGGGUUUUAAGUCAGAGGUGAAAUCCUGGAGCUACAACUCCAGAACUGCCUUUGAUACUGAAAGUCUUGAGUAUGGGAGAGGUGAGUGGAACUGCGAGUGUAGAGGUGAAAUUCGUAGAUAUUCGCAAGAACACCAGUGGCGAAGGCGGCUCACUGGCCCAUUACUGACGCUGAGGCACGAAAGCGUGGGGAGCAAACAGGG